CCCAGCCGCAUCUCCCCCCAGCUCACUGUUACGGACGGAUGUGCUUCCAGUUAUUUUCUUGCAGUUGGUCUCAGAUGUGCCCUCGGGCGCCUCUUAUACAAGACACCCUCGAGACAGCCAUCGUGUCAGUUCCCCCAUCAUAUGCUUUCUAAACUAAACAUCUAAAGUCCCUUCCGUUAUCUUCUGUGCCGUCUAUCAUGAACCUGCUCCUGGUCUCUGUCUCAUCUUUGAAAGACUUUGCUGAGGGAUUUGCCCUGGUACCUUAACUCCAGGGACUUUAAAGCUCAGUUUUUCAGUGAAAUCAUGAAAGAACAUCUAGAAAUGACUUGAAUUCCUCCAAAGAAGAGCAAUUUUUGUGGCUCUAUGAGCAUAAAGAAAAGCCUGUGAACAUAAAGAAUGGUAAUAUGACUCAAGCUAGACUCUACCUUGUAUUCUUAAGCAGGAGCAGUGGAAGAAGCAAGAACUACCGCAGCAGGGUUAGUCCUGGAAAUGACAUUGCGCCCCAGGAGGCCUCUUGCAGAAGGUUUCCAAGCAUGAGAGAGACCCCUGAAGCAACUGCGCAGCCCACCCACUGCUGAACAAUACGAAAGUGCCCUCUGGGAAGGAGAUGACAGAUAUUCCUCUUGUCUCCUGUCUUCCAUCACUCAACCCCAUUAACGAGUAAAACAACAGUACCUAAAAAGAUGCAAACCCCAACAAUCAAUUCUCCCAGUUUAUAAUCAAGCAGGAUUUCAACAACCAGUGAUGUUAAAGUUCACUGCCAGAUGCCUCAUGUGUUACUCUAGCAGAGGAAUUCCUUCACCAUCAAGACCGUUUAUAUGACAUUCUCUUGAUGAUGAAAUCUUUAUGUCCUAGAAGAAAACUCUGGAAAAAGUCGUGUUAAGAAUCAUGCUGGGGCUUCCCUGGUGGCGCAGUGGUUAAGAAUCUGCCUGGCAAUGCAGGGGACACGGGUUUGAUCCCUGGGCUGGGAAGAUCCCACAUGCCUCAGAGCAACGAAGCCUGUGCGCCACAACUAUUGAGCCCACAUGCCACAACUACGGAAGCCCAGGCACCUAGAGCACAUGCUCUGCAGCAAGAGAAGCCGUUGCAGUGAGAAGCCCGUGCACCACAACAAAGGGUAGCCACUGCUCUCUGCAACUAGAGAAAGCCUGGGCACAGCAAUGAAGACCCAACGCAGCCAAUAAAUAAAUAAAUUUAAAAAAGAAAAAAAGAAUCAUGCUGAUAUAACUCAGGUGUAUCUAAGGGCCUGGCCUUCUGGCCUUAAUUUUAUCAUUCAGGCAUGACUGAAAAAUAUUCCAAAACUACACACCCCCUAAAACUACACACAGUUAA